GAAAUGCCCUGGACUUUUAAGGGUGUUGGUUGCAGGAACAUGUUGAAUUGUGAAAAUCUCUGAUACACCUCAGUUCUCCUCUGCCAAUAGUUGAGUGCCCUGCAAAGAGUCUGAAAAAUGCCCUGUAGCUGGAUCAACAGAAUAUGACCACUGUGAAGAGGCAGCUACAUGGAAAUAGUCUGUUCUAGAGAAAGCUUUCUUUUCAUCCACAUGCUUGUUUUUAAGACAGUUUUGAGGUGAUCAUGGCAGACAGGAGGCAGGACUAGCUUGCAGCUCUGGACACAGCAGCAUACGGAGGCUUGCAUUGUGAAUUUGAGCUCCAGAUUGACAGCAAGAACAAACCAGCAAAAGAGGACCCACACACCCUCUGAAGGAAGCAGACUGCUCUUGCAAGACCCAGGAGACACCCCAAAUACUGUGAGUGCCCCAACUGCAGAAGUGGGAAAAGGAGACCCUCCUCUCCUGAACGCACACCUCCACUAGAGAAAUUGAAGGUCUGUUUGCAGGAUAAGUUCCCAAAUUUACCUGGAGCUCAGUUAGUCGAGCUGAGUGAAAUAUAGGGGUAGAGGAAGCAGCAGAAAAGCCCUGGGAGCUCGCUGGAUCCCCAAGCAGCCCAUUCCUGCAUUAUGUAUAAAGUUUUGGUGCCACAAAAGAAAUAGCACUUGAAUAUAAAAUUUUCUUUUUAAUUCUCAGCAAGGCAUGUUACUUCUAUAGAAGGGUGCGCCCUUACAGAUGGAGCAAUGGUGAGCACACACUUGGACAAGGGAGGAGAAGGGGUUCUUAUCCCUGACCCACAUGGCCCCUGCUGCUGUGUCCUUCCCCUAUUGGCUAGGGUUAGACCGCACCGGCUAAACUAAUUCUGAUUGGCUAAUUUAAAGAGAAUGAUUGGGGUGAGUGCUUGGCAGGAGUCAGGGCACAGCAGGUAGCAGGUAACCAGAAUGAGUUAGGGUGGAGCAGGUGAUCAGAAUGAGUCAGGGUGGAAUAGGUAACUGGAAUGAGUCAGGAUGCAAUUGGUAAUCGAAAAAGGUUUUCUUACAAGGAAGUUUAAAAGUAG
rnacentral:lncRNA from 1 species